CCUACGGGAGGCUGCAGUGAGGAAUAUUGGUCAAUGGACGAGAGUCUGAACCAGCCAAGUAGCGUGAAGGAUGACUGCCCUAUGGGUUGUAAACUUCUUUUAUAUGGGAAUAAAAUGUUCCACGUGUGGGACUUUGUAUGUACCAUAUGAAUAAGGAUCGGCUAACUCCGUGCCAGCAGCCGCGGUAAUACGGAGGAUCCGGGCGUUAUCCGGAUUUAUUGGGUUUAAAGGGAGCGUAGAUGGGUUGUUAAGUCAGUUGUGAAAGUUUGCGGCUCAACCGUAAAAUUGCAAUUGAUACUGGCAGCCUUGAGUACAGUUGAGGUAGGCGGAAUUCGUGGUGUAGCGGUGAAAUGCUUAGAUAUCACGAAGAACUCCGAUUGCGAAGGCAGCUUACUAAGCUGCCACUGACAUUGAUGCUCGAAAGUGUGGGUAUCAAACAGGAUUAGAUACCCGAGUAGUC
rnacentral:rRNA from 1 species